CUAUUCCGUUGUCAACCGUCGUCGCGAUUAGACGUAUUUCUUCGAGUCAGAUUUGUAGCGUAACCUAACCUUUUGAUGGCGUCAGUUUUUCAUUACUAUUGUAUUACUGUUUAUACAUUGUGAUUAAUAUUGUUUAAUUAAUGCACGUUUACGUUAUCCUUUACUGAACAUUUUGGUAGUAAAAUCAGGUAAUCACGAGACUUAUUUUGUUCUUUUUUCUUUGAUCGUUUAUUCGAUUGUCAGACUUGCCGGUAGGUUCCCGUAUCUUCUUGCAAGAUAGUAUUCUAGAUUGUUGGUUGAUUGCUGUUAACUACAGAGAUGUCAUGAAAGAAAAUGAAGCAUAAAGAAUAAGCAUCAAUGUCUUUUUCAUGCAGAUUUGAUUUAUUAUCUGAAUAUCUAGUUCUUAUUAUUUGAAGGGGACCUAGCAAUGCUUCAAAAUUUAAAAGCAUGGUCGACAUACUCCCCUUCUUCCUAUCUUCUAGUAGGAAUCUAGCUAUGCUCCAGCAACCAAAAGUGGAUAAAUUGUAAUAUUCUACAUCUUGUUAAAGAUGUUUCACACCCUUUUCUGCUUUUUCCUAUCCUCUGGGGAGGAUCUAAUGGUGCUUCAGAAGCCAAAAUUUCGUCGACCUCGUCAAAUUUGAUAGUCCAUGCUUGAUAACAACCAUCGUGAUGAUUUCUUCUGGGCUACUGCAAUAUUGAUGGUAAUAUCCUCGGUGUUCAAUGGAUCUCACUCACGUGUCCAGAUGCUAUUUCAGUGGGACAAAGACCAUAGUCAGAAAGCUUCGAGCUAGAUUUAAGUUUCAGCAGGCAUUGCACCCGAAGAAAAAAGAGGCUACAACCCAAACAGACCCGAAAAAUUUUCCAUAGAGGAGGGUUCUGGAUCAUGCAAAACAUGGAAAGCCAUUCUCAUUACUAUUUUGUCACUAUGCUCGUUUUUAAUAUCUGCAGUUGUAGUAUUUUUCUUCUUUUUUGAAGGAGGGGGAGCAAUGUAUAUAUCUCUUUGUUUUUAUAUUUCUAUUUUUUUGUUAGUGUUGUGAAAGAUUAAUCACAGUUUGAAUUAGAGUUGCGGAUAAAGUGUGGAUAAAGACACAUACACAUGUGUAUCCCAUGCUAUAUCCAUUUACCUUAUUGUAUUUAGAUUCUUAGAUAGAUAAAAGCCUUGAACAAAUCAUUACAUUUUUAUAAAGAUAAGGUGUAUAACACUUUCAGAUCUGCGAUAGUACCUAUACAAUAUUUUAGGUUGACAAAGAUCCAUGGUAUUUCAGGAUAUACAGAAAAGUAGUCAAGCUUUUAAAAGGUAUAUUCAUCCCACACGACACCCCUUUCCUUUUCCUUGUUAUAAUUAGAUACUUUAUAUAUAUAAGACAAUUCGGAUUUAUUGUAAAAUAAGGAUAAAUUUAUGGUUAGGAAGGAUGUUUCUGAGUUGGAAGGCUAGUUAUUUUAUUAUUAGAUGGGAAUAAAUUUAAAAUUAAAAAUUAAGAUAGGUAUUUUUUUGUUAUAGAGUUGCUUAAUAGUUACUUUUUAGUGGAGAUCUUAUAUGAUAUGUAUAUUGUUAGGGAGGGAUAAAUUUACAGUUAGAAAAUCUGUUUUUGAGUUAAGCAGUUAAUGAAUAAUUAUUUUUUAGUAAAGAUUUUAUACGAUAUGUGACACGAUAACUACUAUUACUAUCUAUUAAAUACAAUAAUUAAUUGUGUAUAUAUUUAUGACGUAUUAAUGGCUAAGUGCAUGUGUAAUUACUGAUGGUUGGCAUAUGUAGUUAGUAACUAAGUAAUAGAGUAAUGUAAUAAUGUAAUAAAGUAGUUAAUAAAUAUAUUAA